GGUCAAGUGAAGAAGCGCAUACGGUGGAUGCCUUGGCAGUCAGAGGCGAUGAAAGACGUGGUAGCCUGCGAAAAGCUUCGGGGAGUCGGCAAACAGACUUUGAUCCGGAGAUCUCUGAAUGGGGGAACCCACCUAGGAUAACCUAGGUAUCUUGUACUGAAUCCAUAGGUGCAAGAGGCGAACCAGGGGAACUGAAACAUCUAAGUACCCUGAGGAAAAGAAAUCAACCGAGAUUCCCUUAGUAGUGGCGAGCGAACGGGGAUUAGCCCUUAAGCUUCAUUGAUUUUAGCGGAACGCUCUGGAAAGUGCGGCCAUAGUGGGUGAUAGCCCCGUACGCGAAAGGAUCUUUGAAGUGAAAUCGAGUAGGACGGAGCACGAGAAACUUUGUCUGAACAUGGGGGGACCAUCCUCCAAGGCUAAAUACUACUGACUGACCGAUAGUGAACCAGUACCGUGAGGGAAAGGCGAAAAGAACCCCGGAGAGGGGAGUGAAAUAGAACCUGAAACCGUAUGCGUACAAGCAGUGGGAGCCUACUUGUUAGGUGACUGCGUACCUUUUGUAUAAUGGGUCAGCGACUUAUAUUCAGUGGCAAGCUUAACCGUAUAGGGUAGGCGUAGCGAAAGCGAGUCUUAAUAGGGCGUUUAGUCGCUGGGUAUAGACCCGAAACCGGGCGAUCUAUCCAUGAGCAGGUUGAAGGUUAGGUAACACUGACUGGAGGACCGAACCCACUCCCGUUGAAAAGGUAGGGGAUGACUUGUGGAUCGGAGUGAAAGGCUAAUCAAGCUCGGAGAUAGCUGGUUCUCCUCGAAAGCUAUUUAGGUAGCGCCUCAUGUAUCACUCUGGGGGGUAGAGCACUGUUUCGGCUAGGGGGUCAUCCCGACUUACCAAACCGAUGCAAACUCCGAAUACCCAGAAGUGCCGAGCAUGGGAGACACACGGCGGGUGCUAACGUCCGUCGUGAAAAGGGAAACAACCCAGACCGCCAGCUAAGGUCCCAAAGUUGUGGUUAAGUGGUAAACGAUGUGGGAAGGCUUAGACAGCUAGGAGGUUGGCUUAGAAGCAGCCAUCCUUUAAAGAAAGCGUAAUAGCUCACUAGUCGAGUCGGCCUGCGCGGAAGAUGUAACGGGGCUCAAACCACACACCGAAGCUGCGGGUGUCACGUAAGUGACGCGGUAGAGGAGCGUUCUGUAAGCCUGUGAAGGUGAGUUGAGAAGCUUGCUGGAGGUAUCAGAAGUGCGAAUGCUGACAUGAGUAACGACAAUGGGUGUGAAAAACACCCACGCCGAAAGACCAAGGGUUCCUGCGCAACGUUAAUCGACGCAGGGUUAGUCGGUUCCUAAGGCGAGGCUGAAAAGCGUAGUCGAUGGGAAACAGGUUAAUAUUCCUGUACUUCUGGUUACUGCGAUGGAGGGACGGAGAAGGCUAGGCCAGCUUGGCGUUGGUUGUCCAAGUUUAAGGUGGUAGGCUGAAAUCUUAGGUAAAUCCGGGGUUUCAAGGCCGAGAGCUGAUGACGAGUCGUCUUUUAGAUGACGAAGUGGUUGAUGCCAUGCUUCCAAGAAAAGCUUCUAAGCUUCAGGUAACCAGGAACCGUACCCCAAACCGACACAGGUGGUCGGGUAGAGAAUACCAAGGCGCUUGAGAGAACUCGGGUGAAGGAACUAGGCAAAAUGGCACCGUAACUUCGGGAGAAGGUGCGCCGGCUAGGGUGAAGGAUUUACUCCGUAAGCUCUGGCUGGUCGAAGAUACCAGGCCGCUGCGACUGUUUAUUAAAAACACAGCACUCUGCAAACACGAAAGUGGACGUAUAGGGUGUGACGCCUGCCCGGUGCCGGAAGGUUAAUUGAUGGGGUUAGCGCAAGCGAAGCUCUUGAUCGAAGCCCCGGUAAACGGCGGCCGUAACUAUAACGGUCCUAAGGUAGCGAAAUUCCUUGUCGGGUAAGUUCCGACCUGCACGAAUGGCGUAACGAUGGCGGCGCUGUCUCCACCCGAGACUCAGUGAAAUUGAAAUCGCUGUGAAGAUGCAGUGUAUCCGCGGCUAGACGGAAAGACCCCGUGAACCUUUACUGUAGCUUUGCACUGGACUUUGAGCCUGCUUGUGUAGGAUAGGUGGGAGGCUUUGAAGCGUGGACGCCAGUUCGCGUGGAGCCAUCCUUGAAAUACCACCCUGGCAUGCUUGAGGUUCUAACUCUGGUCCGUGAUCCGGAUCGAGGACAGUGUAUGGUGGGCAGUUUGACUGGGGCGGUCUCCUCCUAAAGAGUAACGGAGGAGUACGAAGGUGCGCUCAGACCGGUCGGAAAUCGGUCGCAGAGUAUAAAGGCAAAAGCGCGCUUGACUGCGAGACAGACACGUCGAGCAGGUACGAAAGUAGGUCUUAGUGAUCCGGUGGUUCUGUAUGGAAGGGCCAUCGCUCAACGGAUAAAAGGUACUCCGGGGAUAACAGGCUGAUACCGCCCAAGAGUUCAUAUCGACGGCGGUGUUUGGCACCUCGAUGUCGGCUCAUCACAUCCUGGGGCUGAAGCCGGUCCCAAGGGUAUGGCUGUUCGCCAUUUAAAGUGGUACGCGAGCUGGGUUUAGAACGUCGUGAGACAGUUCGGUCCCUAUCUGCCGUGGACGUUUGAGAUUUGAGAGGGGCUGCUCCUAGUACGAGAGGACCGGAGUGGACGAACCUCUGGUGUUCCGGUUGUCACGCCAGUGGCAUUGCCGGGUAGCUAUGUUCGGAAAAGAUAACCGCUGAAAGCAUCUAAGCGGGAAACUUGCCUCAAGAUGAGAUCUCACUGGGAACUUGAUUCCCCUGAAGGGCCGUCGAAGACUACGACGUUGAUAGGCUG
rnacentral:rRNA from 1 species